UGGGGAAUAUUGCACAAUGGGCGCAAGCCUGAUGCAGCCAUGCCGCGUGUGUGAAGAAGGCCUUCGGGUUGUAAAGCACUUUCAGCGGGGAGGAAGGCGUUAAGGUUAAUACCUUUGCUCAUUGACGUUACCCGCAGAAGAAGCACCGGCUAACUCCGUGCCAGCAGCCGCGGUAAUACGGAGGGUGCAAGCGUUAAUCGGAAUUACUGGGCGUAAAGCGCACGCAGGCGGUUUGUUAAGUCAGAUGUGAAAUCCCCGGGCUCAACCUGGGAACUGCAUCUGAUACUGGCAAGCUUGAGUCUCGUAGAGGGGGGUAGAAUUCCAGGUGUAGCGAUGAAAUGCGUAGAGAUCUGGAGGAAUACCGGUGGCGAAGGCGGCCCCCUGGACGAAGACUGACGCUCAGGUGCGAAAGCGUGGGGAGCAAACAGG
rnacentral:rRNA from 1 species